UACAGAGGGUGCGAGCGUUGUUCGGAAUUAUUGGGCGUAAAGGGCGCGUAGGCGGGUAAGUAAGUCCGUGGUGAAAUCUCUGAGCUUAACUCAGAAACUGCCGUGGAUACUAUUUGCCUUGAAUAUUGUGGAGGUGAGCGGAAUAUGUCAUGUAGCGGUGAAAUGCUUAGAUAUGACAUAGAACACCAAUUGCGAAGGCAGCUCACUACACAAUCAUUGACGCUGAGGCACGGAAGCGUGGGGAUCAAACAGG
rnacentral:rRNA from 1 species